CAGUCGCCGCGGUAAUACGAAGGGGGCUAGCGUUGCUCAGAAUGACUGGGCGUAAAGGGCGCGUAGGCGGCGAUCAAAGUCAGGCGUGAAAUUCCUGGGCUCAACCUGGGGGCUGCGUUUGAUACUUGAUUGCUAGAGUGGGGAAGAGGGUCGUGGAAUUCCCAGUGUAGAGGUGAGAUUCGUAGAUAUUGGGAAGACCACCGGUGGCGAAGGCGGCGACCUGGUCCUUGACUGACGCUGAGGCGCGAAAGCGUGGGGAGCAAACAGGAUUAGAUACCCGAGUAGUCCCUGUCUCUUAUAC
rnacentral:rRNA from 1 species